rnacentral:rRNA from 1 species
UACACGAGCGGCGAACGGGUGAGUAACACGUGGGUGAUCUGCCCUGCACUUCGGGAUAAGCCUGGGAAACUGGGUCUAAUACCGGAUAUGACCUUCGGCUGCAUGGCUGAGGGUGGAAAGGUUUACUGGUGCAGGAUGGGCCCGCGGCCUAUCAGCUUGUUGGUGGGGUAAUGGCCUACCAAGGCGACGACGGGUAGCCGACCUGAGAGGGUGACCGGCCACACUGGGACUGAGACACGGCCCAGACUCCUACGGGAGGCAGCAGUGGGGAAUAUUGCACAAUGGGCGAAAGCCUGAUGCAGCGACGCCGCGUGAUGGAUGACGGCCUU